CCUACGGGUGGCAGCAGUGGGGAAUAUUGGGCAAUGGGCGCAAGCCUGACCCAGCAACGCCGCGUGAAGGAAGACGGCCCUAGGGUUGUAAACUUCUUUUAUUAAGGACGAAACAAAUGACGGUACUGGCUGAAUAAGCCACGGCUAACGAAGUGCCAGCCGCCGCGGUAAUACGUAGGUGGCAAGCGUUAUCCGGAUUUACUGGGUGUAAAGGUCGUGUAGGCGGGACUGUAAGUCAGAUGUGAAAACCAUGGGCUAAACCCAGUGCUUGCAUUUGAAACUGUAGUUCUUGAGUGUUGGAGAGGCAGGCGGAAUUCCGUGUGUAGCGGUGAAAUGCGUAGAUAUACGGAGGAACACCAGUGGCGAAGGCGGCCUGCUGAACAACAACUGACGCUGAGGCGCGAAAGUGUGGGGAGCAAACAGGAUUAGAUACCCCUGUAGUC
rnacentral:rRNA from 1 species